UGCCUUGAGAACUGAGCCUAGGACUACUGA
rnacentral:piRNA from 1 species